rnacentral:rRNA from 1 species
AGUGAACGCUGGCGGUAGGCCUAACACAUGCAAGUCGAACGGCAGCACAGUAAGAGCUUGCUCUUACGGGUGGCGAGUGGCGGACGGGUGAGGAAUACAUCGGAAUCUACUUUUUCGUGGGGGAUAACGUAGGGAAACUUACGCUAAUACCGCAUACGACCUACGGGUGAAAGCAGGGGAUCUUCGGACCUUGCGCGAUUGAAUGAGCCGAUGUCGGAUUAGCUAGUUGGCGGGGUAAAGGCCCACCAAGGCGACGAUCCGUAGCUGGUCUGAGAGGAUGAUCAGCCACACUGGAACUGAGACACGGUCCAGACUCCUACGGGAGGCAGCAGGGGGGAAUAUUGGACAAUGGGAGCAAGCCUGAUCCAGCCAUACCGCGUGAGUGAAGAAGGCCUUCGGGUUGUAAAGCCCUUUUGUUGGGAAAGAAAAGCAGCAGGUUAAUACCCCGCUGUUCUGACGGUACCCAAAGAAUAAGCACCGGCUAACUUCGUG